rnacentral:rRNA from 1 species
ACUCCUACGGGAGGCAGCAGUAGGGAAUCUUCCACAAUGGGCGCAAGCCUGAUGGAGCAACACCGCGUGAGUGAAGAAGGGUUUCGGCUCGUAAAGCUCUGUUGUUAAAGAAGAACACGUAUGAGAGUAACUGUUCAUACGUUGACGGUAUUUAACCAGAAAGUCACGGCUAACUACGUGCCGGCAGCCGCGGUAAUACGUAGGUGGCAAGCGUUAUCCGGAUUUAUUGGGGCGUAAAGAGAGUGCAGGCGGUUUUCUAAGUCUGAUGUGAAAGCCUUCGGCUUAACCGGAGAAGUGCAUCGGAAACUGGAUAACUUGAGUGCAGAAGAGGGUAGUGGAACUCCAUGUGUAGCGGUGGAAUGCGUAGAUAUAUGGAAGAACACCAGUGGCGAAGGCGGCUACCUGGUCUGCAACUGACGCUGAGACUCGAAAGCAUGGGUAGCGAAC